AACAAACGCUGGCGGCGUGCCUAAUACAUGCAAGUCGAACGGGGAAAGCUUCCGGGUGAGUACUAGUGGCGCACGGGUGAGUAACGCGUGGAUAAUCUGCCUUAGAGUGGGGGAUAACUAGUCGACAGAUUAGCUAAUACCGCAUAAGACCACAAGAACUGCGGUUCAAGGGGUCAAAGGUUUUUCGCUCUAAGAUGAGUCCGCGUAAGAUUAGCUAGUUGGUAGGGUAACGGCCUACCAAGGCUACGAUCUUUAACUGGUCUGAGAGGAUGAUCAGCCACACUGGAACUGAGACACGGUCCAGACUCCUACGGGAGGCAGCAGUAGGGAAUAUUGCACAAUGGAGGAAACUCUGAUGCAGCGACGCCGCGUGAGUGAUGAAGGCCUUCGGGUCGUAAAGCUCUGUCGCAGGGGAAUAACACAAUGAAGGUACCCUGUAAGAAAGGAUCGGCUAACUUCGUGCCAGCAGCCGCGGUAAGAC
rnacentral:rRNA from 1 species